UUCCAUACCAUUUGGUGGCCAGUUAUUGCAAUUUGCCACAUUUUGAAUACAUGGUCAGUCUUUUCCUUUCCAAGACUCCCCAGCGGAUGCUUGCUCAGCCACUCGUGCUUUCCUUUCAUACUCCCUAGCAAGAAGAAGGGAGCAGAUUGCUGCAUGAGGCAUGUGGCAGUGCCUGGCAGGCUGCAGGGGGACGGGGAGCCACAUGCACUCCCUCUGCUUCUUGCAGUUUCUACUGGGAAACGCUUUGCUGGAUGCAAAAGACACAGAUCCCUGCCAAACAGAUUUGACUUUCAGAGGGAAGAAGAGCUUUCAGAUGAGGAUAUGAGGGAAGUUUUAGUUACAACUACCUUCCCUCCUGAACUCAACCAGUUCUGGUUCUUCACAUUGUCUACUCCAGUUUUGGUUGCUUUAGGCUUGUAACAGGAUAGACUUUUAAAACAUUUCCUCCUUACUAGACUGCUGGAUUUGGCAUUUAUUCAGAGGGCAAGGGCCCACCCAAUCAGCCUGCAGGGACUUGCCCAAUGAAAACACCUCUCUACUGCAAGCCUGCAACCUCUUGCAAGUGAGCACACAGCUGAGGAAGCAGGGGGAGAAAGGAAUUCCUCUAGACCCUCCCUUUUGCAGCUCUUCAUUAAAUUACAUCUGUGUGCUCAUUUUCUGCAGACUUUUUUAUUUCAUGCAGCAUAGGUGGGAUGGCUGUAGAUGCUCUGAAAAGUGUGGAUGAGAAUCUCAGGCAGGAGCUGCUUUACUGCCACGUUCUUCCAGGGCAGAGAGGGGCUGAGGAGAAGCUCCAGACUUCGCUGCUGUCUUUCCUUAGAAGAUCCUGCUGACUUCAGCUGGAUUUUUACCUGCGAGGGCUGAAGAAAUUCCUGCAUCAUGUGGAUGAGCAGAUUAGCUGAGGAACACACACUGGUAGGAAGAUGCGGAGUAUAUAGGCACAUGUGUUCCACACUGCAAACACUGUGUGAAGAUGAGUGCUUCUCUGCUGGUAUGGAAAUUAUGGCAAGCACCAGAAUCUUAUGUCUCACUUUUUUUUACCUGUAAAGCAAGAACAUCUGAUUCUUGUAGUCUUUUUCUGACUUAUUUCUAAUUUGGCCAAAAUUCAUUAAUAGAUGUACCACACAAUAAUUUGGACUUCAUAUCAUAAGGCAGUCCUUUAGGUAGCGCACAGAGUGGCACAGUGCUCUGGUCCUCUGAAGGGCAGGAUAGCACUCUGCAACUGUUGUAAGUACUACAACCACUAGGCCUUUCAAUAUUCAACAGAUUUCUGUUAAACUUUCCAAAUACAGUAAUGAGACCUGACAAAAAAAUCACAAUAGCAUAGGGGAUUGCAACACAGGGAUGCAGCUUUAUGUCUCGUGGGGUCUGGGAGCUGCAGGGCCCUGGGAGUGCAUGGCUGGAGGCAACAUCUAAGAUCAAGCUGAGGCCUGUGGCACCUGCUGGUACACAGCAUCCUUCCUUCCCCUCUGGUACUGCGAUCCUUGUUUGCAGUUUACUGAUCUAAGGCUGUUUGGUUAAACAAAAGCUGUUAUACCAAUAUAUGGCUGUCCAACUGUUGUGUAAGGUCUGUUGGCAUGCUUGUGUGCUCAUGUAUAUGUAGAUGGUAUGUGUUUCUGUGUGUGAGAGACAAAGAGCUGAACAUCUCUGGAAGGCAAUUAUUUGGAAGUUCCCCAUUCUUUAUGUGAAUAAAAU
ensembl:lncRNA